rnacentral:rRNA from 1 species
CUUGGUCAUUUAGAGGAAGUAAAAGUCGUAACAAGGUUUCCGUAGGUGAACCUGCGGAAGGAUCAUUAAAGAACGCCCCGUUUUUUGAAAUGGGUAAUUCCCAAACCGUGUCUAUAUAUACCUUUGUUGCUUUGGCAGGUCGCCUUCUAGGCGUCGGCUCCGGCUGACUGCGCCUGCCAGAGGACCCAAACUCGUUUUGUUUAGUGUCGUCUGAGUACUAUAUAAUAGUUAAAACUUUCAACAACGGAUCUCUUGGUUCUGGCAUCGAUGAAGAACGCAGCGAAAUGCGAUAAGUAAUGUGAAUUGCAGAAUUCAGUGAAUCAUCGAAUCUUUGAACGCACAUUGCGCCCCUUGGUAUUCCGAGGGGCAUGCCUGUUCGAGCGUCAUUAUAACCACUCAAGCCUCGGCUUGGUAUUGGGGUUCGCGGUUUCGCGGCCCUUAAAAUCAGUGGCGGUGCCGUCUGGCUCUAAGCGUAGUAAUUCUCUCGCUAUAGGGUCCAGGUGGUUACUUGUCAGAAUCCCCCACUUUUAUAGGUUGACCUCGGAUCAGGUAGGGAUACCCGCUGAACUUAAGCAUAUCAAUAAGCGGAGGA